AUGGACGACCAAAGUGGCUUGGACCCACCGGUUCUCAUUCCGAACACCGAAGUGAAAUAAGCCCACGUCCUGUUGUGGUACUGUAAUUAUUACGGGAAGCUCAGGAAGUUGUCCAUC
rnacentral:rRNA from 1 species